ACAGGAGAAUUGCUUGUACCUGAGAGGUGGAGGUUGCAGUGAGUCGAGAUCGUGCCACUGCACUCCAGCCUGGGUGAGACAGUGAGACUGUGUAAAAAAAAAAAAAAAAAGACAAAGGAAAACAGAAACAAGAAAAACCUGGAAGACGAGCCAUAUACACUUAGGACAGAAGUGGCAAGGAUGGUAGGCAGGUGCAGGGUUUACUGUGCAAUGCUUGCUCUAACAUCAAACCUUCCCAGAGAUGGACUGAGAAUAGAGGACUAUUGUUGACAGUCAGACAGAGCAUGCUCUCAGUGUCUGCAGAAGCUGGGUUCCUGGCUGUUGGGCCAGUGAGACUCCUCACACCACCUCUCAGGAAAGUCACAGGGAGAGUAUUGGCAGCUGGGCUUAGGGCCACACAGGGCUGGGUGGAUUGGCAACUUGGAACCUAUCCCUAAAGGGCCAACAAGUGACAUGCUAACAACACCAGUAUCCCACAGAGGAAAACAACACAUAUCUUGAAUUUCAAAUCUGGGUCUCAUUGAGCAAACUGCAACCUCCAGUUGGCUCUAGGGGGAGGCGUCUAUGAUGGAGAAAUGCAAUAUGGUAUUGGACCCAGCGGUGGUGUGAUGUGACCAGCAGGUCACUGUCGCAAGAGAGGAGCUGGGCCUGCCACCACCAGGAGAUGAUGCCAAACAGUCACUGCAGAAGAAUUUGCUGCACGGAGCUGUCUGGGAUGCCUCAGACCUGCCAGCGGUAGAGCUGCCUGCCUUGCUUCCUCUUGCUUACUCACAGCUCUAAGUCUGAACUUGGCUGCAGCUGUCCUGAACAGCCCAGGAGGAGCCUAGGCAGGAGGAGGCUUCUCUCCUAUGCAAUUUGGCUGAAUUUUAGUUACUCAAAAGAGCAAAGGAAGCACUUCUGAAUAUUCGUCAGGAGGAGCCAACCACCUUAGCUUGCUCCCUGAUGGGUUUUGUUCAGCCCCUGCCUUACUGUUGUCAGCCUGGACUGUCUUCUGGGCUUGGGUUCACCAUGUGUCUGGACCACGGGAGUGUCUCUAGGUGUCUCCCUUCCUGUGCAUUUCUCCUGGGCAUAGACACCCAUCCUGUGGAACACUGGGAGGAGGGUGCAAGACCCCACUGCACCCAGGCUUGGUUCCUCUUGGGUGCAGCAGCCUCAUCCCCUUGCAAGCCUUCCUCCCACUCCUCCCAGAAGGCUCUGCUUCCUCCACUUGCUCCUCUCCUAGGUGUGAGCCAGCAGGGUUUGGUCACCCAGAUAUGAAGUAUUAAUGUUGGACUCCUGUCUGGAGUCGGGAGUCUAUUAAGGAAGACGUGUGGGAGAGGCCUGUGUUCAAGGCCCUUAGAACCAUUCUGCCUGAGCCAUCAGCUCCUUAAAAAGAAAUCACCAAAGAUCCCAAACAAUGGCAGAGUCCCCCUCCCACCCUUUGGGCUACUUGGUAAAUAGGCCCACCAAUUCUAUCUCCAAAAUAUCUCCCAUCAGGACCAUGUGUAUAUUGACAUCUUUAUCUUCCAUCAGGUCAGGGUUGCCACAAAAGCCUCCAUCCAAAUUUCCUGAAAAAGCCCAGUUUCUCUAAAUGUGUGCAUGAACACGGUGCUGGGCAUGGCCCUCUCCUCUCAGUCCUUCUGCAACGCCCAGUGCCUUCACAGCCAAGGCCAGACUUCCUAGUGGAAGAGCAAAGUCCCUCCUGACACGGCUUCUGCUUGCAUCUGCAGCCCCACUUCCCCCACACCACGCUGCACCCUGAGCUCCUCACGGAGAGCCACCGUGUUUCACACCUGCCGUGCUCUGGGCCAGGUCGCUGGGCUUGCUGGUCCUUAGACUUGGAGCACCUGAUGCUGUUUGCCCAUCUGUGUCCUUGUCAGCCUUUGAGAAUUGGAUCUGGCAGCCCCUCCUCAGGAAGCCCAUGAGAGCCUCCGCCCCAUACUCACACAGACCCUGAGCUAGGUGGCCCCUGCCUGUGUCCCUCAGCUCCCAGCCCAGCUUCCAUGCAGCUUUAGCACAGUUUACCAGCACCAUCAAGACCCCUCUGGGAGGACAGAGAGCUCUGGGAGGACAGAGAGCUCUGAAGGACAGAACACGCAUGCCUUUCUGGUUGUUCCUCUGAAGCCUAGCACAACACUGACACGUGAGAAAUACUGGCUGAAUAAAAGGUGGAAGUGAAAAAGAACAACACUGACACGUGAGAAAUACUGGCUGAAUAAAAGGCACUGUGCAUUCCCUGCCCAUGAGGAAGGAAGCAGCUUAUUCCAUUUUCACCCCAGCAGAACCCCUGCAUGCAGGUUUAGGUCAACACUAGCUGCCAGCAGGAUGGAGACCCAGCAGCAUGCGGCACACGGGAGUCUCGCCGCGGGUCCUUGACAGAAGAGUAACGAGACUUUUCUUGAAAUAGUGUCCUGAGUUGAGAUCUGAGAAGAACCUGUUAUGCAUCCUAGAACACAGUGCAUUUGCAAGUCAUAAGAUGUUAGCACCGAUUAUGGAGCCUCGUGUGUUCUUAGGGGCUAUUUCCGUGACCUCGUCGGGGGUUCAAUGAGCAGCUUCAACAGAAAACUGGAUUUCCUUUUCCUCCAAGGCUGUCUUAUUUCCAGAUUACUCUGGACCUAAUUUUAAUCGUGCACACCUACCAUGGCAGGCUGUUUUCCUGUCCUCCCAAUGAUCUCCAUACAAUCUCACUGCUGGGUAGCACCUCCAUUCCCUUGCUUACCUAAGCCAUCAAAACCUGCAACAACUCACAAAACCACAAAAAGCAACAGAAAAUAUCAGAAGAUAAUCAAAUGAAUCAAGACCUCCAGAAAACUGUGCAUAAUUCAGUUUUCAUUUCAUUUAAUGAUAAUGUCCACAGUUAAUCAGGCAUUCCUUAUCAUUUGGAUCUACAUGUUGAAUAAACACAACAUCCCUAGACCUUUGAGGGUUUUCUAAAUAAUCUGCUGUUGAUUUUCUUAGGUACUGACCAGAUUACUAUGAAUAUUCCUGAUAGAAUAUGCUGACAAGAAACAAACAGGACAAGCCUAAAAUAGAGGUUCUGGUAAACAUUCAGGGAAAAGUUUAUUACUGACAUGUGAGAGCUCGGUUUUCAAGGUUAAUAAAAUAAAGUUGACAGAAGUCGUGAUGCCUCACAUGACUCAGACCCAUUUCUCCUUUCCUUCGUAGCAGAUACCAGUGGGCAGACAAUUCAAUGAACCAUCUUUGAAUUCUGAUUCCUGACUCAGAAAGAGAAACAAACCCCUAGAGCAGAAAACUUGUUCAGUGACAGGAAAUAUUCCAUACAUGUUUGUGUAACACUGGAAUUCUUCUAAUCGCAUGAGGACAUGACAUGACAUGACAGCUGGCAUGCUGGGCACUGCAGUGAGUACCACAGGAACAGCCUGCACCAGUCCACGUGCAAAUAAGAAGGAAAUACAACCUUCAUUCUAAGAGGUUCUCCGAGGUCAUGCGGGCAGCUUCUCCCAGGCUGUUUGUGAAAUAUGGGGGGAAGAUGCUCUCGGAGGACCCAAGCAAAGAAGCCUAUUUAUCCUUGUUAUUCUGCAUGAUCUAACGUAUUUGACCACACAUACUCACCUUUUACUUUUCUAAAACUCCUGCUACAUCCUCUGAACUAAAGUUUCAGAGUACACAGAGUGGGGCUUUUGCUGCACCAUAAGCAACAGCAACUCCUCCAGCUUUGUGCUUUUAAAAUUCUGUCAUGACACUAAAGUUUUCAUUGAGAACUUUAUCUUGUUAAAGUUCUUUAAGAAGCCCCAAGUCCUGAAUUCUUUUUUUCUUUUUAAUUUUUUAAAGACAAGCAUUAAAUAUUUGAGGUUUAUUCUUACACAGAGUGACUCUAACCUUGAGAAGUUUAAAUAUGCACACUCGUACAUGCUUUGGUUCGCAUGCACAGGGGCCUGGCAGAUGCAAGCCUCAUGGUAGACAUUGACCAGCAGCAGCUGCUCUGUUCCUCUGGGAAGCGGGUGCCCAGGAUGGCAUGCAAUGCAUUCCCCUGCUCAGUGCCACAAAAGAUCCAGAGGAGCCGACACGGUCCAUCCCACUCCUGUGAUGCUGCAGCUCUGGGGGCGUCGCUGGAGAGGUCAAUGUGCUGGUCACGGACUUCCCAACAUUCCGGCAGAUGACAGCAUGAAAAUUCACUUUCUUUGUGGGUCAUUGAUUAAGGGAUGGGCAUAGGGCCCAAUUCAAUCCCAUGAGUUGCAGGGAGACUCCCCUUGGAGAUUUUUUUCUGGAGGGAUUUAUGGCUUCAGUUGGGUUCCCUGGAAAUGAUUUAUGAGGGUGUUUUCUUGGGAACAACAACCAUAAGUCAGGAAAGCAGGAUUGGGCAGAGGCAUUUCAGGUGGAAUGUGGUCUCCACAAGGACCUCCAUUCCCCCAAAGGCAGCAGUGGAUCUGAGAUAGCCCUUCAGAGGCCAUCACAAAUAGAAGCCAGGCAGUGGGCAUCUUCCUCCUGCGUCUAGUCACUGGUGCAGGCUGUCCCUGGAGAGUGGGCAUCACCUGGGCUAUGUGUCCCCUUUCCUUAGAGAGUCUCAGCUGUGAGCCUUCAGCAGCUGGUACCACCCGCAGUGGGAGAAGGAGUAGCUACAUCCUGAUGAGGUUUCCUGGGUGCUGCAUCACCAUCCACUACAGAUCCCUGCCCUGCUGGGACUCUCUUGCUUUGUAUGGCAAGUCCACUCCAUCUGGGAGCAGCUCCUCUGGUGUUUUUGUCUAUCUUCUUCCUGAGGAAACAACCAAGAGAUUUAGUGGAAAGAAUCAUGGCUGCAGCCACUGCAACUCCUCUCCCCACUGAUGCUUCUCAGCUCCCUCGUCCACUAGCCAUUGUAUGUUCUCCUUGCUCUUGGUCUGCUGAGAGCUGGUCCCUGUGGCCCUCCUAAUGUGGUGACCCACAUCCUCUUUCCUGAAGUCUGAGGUUCUAUUUACCAAGCACUUCUCAGACUCUGGCUGCAGUGCUUGUUUAUUUGCCAUCAAAAUGAGGCAAGGGAACACCAAGUGGUGCCUGGGGAUCCCCUGAGUGCCAAACAUUUUCCUCCCUGCCCCUGUCGUGUGAGGCAGCCCUCUCUUCUCUGGCAGUCAGAGCCUGUGGCCCCCUCCAGGAAACGGACUCCUCUUCUGCCUCCUACUUUGUUGGAUGAAAACCUCAGAAGUUUAAGCAAAGUUUAAGCUUCAUGGAUUCUUGCUGUGACCCCUGAUGGAAGCAUUCCCCCUUUGGGAAGAACAUCUCUAGAUCCAUAGAACCUUAAAUUGCUGGGAGGGGAAACAGAACUUAUUCCACAAAUAGGUCUGGGGAGGGAUGUAAGCAGAUCCAUGCAUACUUCCACUUCUUGGAUCCUAGACCUGCGUCCUGCUACUCAGGGUUGGGGGGAUGCAGCUCCAUAAAGUGAUGCUGGAUGCGGGGUGUAUUCUGCAUUCUGAAGGAUGGUGCCCUGGCCUUGCCCAGGCUCAUCUCUAAGCUGGCACUGCUCUGGGCCUCCUCUAGUCUGUAUAACUGGGCCUUCAUGUCAGCAGCUUCUGGGCAACGUGGGAGGUGAGGACCAGAGGACCUAGGUGCGUGUGCCUGCUGCUGUACUACUUUUGCUAUAAGGGUGUCCCUUGGUCUGAGAGGAUGCUGCAUAGUGUUUCCUGCAGGUCAUCAGAUUUUCAUUCUGGCAAAGGUGCACAUGCAGGAACAUCAAACCCAUAACUAGAAUAUAAAUCAAUUUCAGUCAAGAAAGAUCUCUUUUCUUCUAGGAAAGGGAUCCAAAUGUAAGCAACUUGACACCCGAUGAUUGGUUGGCCUACUUGAGGGACGGUGCCAUGUUCCAGCAUCAGGCGGAUGUUUCACAGAGACAGGAGCUGGUCAGCCCUGGGGAGUGGAUGCCUUCCACAAGGCUCACGCAUAAGCCCCAUCCCUAGCACCAUGGCUACUACCUGCAUGUACCUUGCAUGCCAGCACUGGGGUCGCCAGUAUCAGAGGCUGGCUGAUGCCACCUGGCUUGUCCUUCUGUCCAGCUCGUCGUUUGGUUCCUCCUACAUGGCAAUUGCUCUCUGGUGGGUGUUAUCAUAAGAUACAGAGAUUUUCACACUUCAUGCCCACCUCCAUAGACCCAUCCAUGCCUUCUCCCCAGACCACCUCUUUCCCA
rnacentral:lncRNA from 1 species